ACGGAAGGCAGCAGUGGGGAAUAUUGCACAAUGGGCGCAAGCCUGAUGCAGCGACGCCGCGUGAAGGAUGAAGUAUUUCGGUAUGUAAACUUCUAUCAGCAGGGAAGAAAAUGACGGUACUUGACUAAGAAGCUCCGGCUAAAUACGUGCCAGCAGCCGCGGUAAUACGUAUGGAGCAAGCGUUAUCCGGAUUUACUGGGUGUAAAGGGAGCGUAGACGGCAAAGCAAGUCUGAAGUGAAAUCCCGGGGCUCAACCCCGGAACUGCUUUGGAAACUGUUUAGCUAGAGUGCAGGAGAGGUAAGCGGAAUUCCUAGUGUAGCGGUGAAAUGCGUAGAUAUUAGGAGGAACACCAGUGGCGAAGGCGGCUUACUGGACUGUAACUGACGUUGAGGCUCGAAAGCGUGGGGAGCAAACAGGAUUAGAUACCCUGGUA
rnacentral:rRNA from 1 species